UACGGAGGGUGCAAGCGUUAUCCGGAUUCACUGGGUUUAAAGGGUGCGUAGGAGGGCAGGUAAGUCAGUGGUGAAAUCUCCAAGCUUAACUUGGAACUGCCGUUGAUACUAUCUGUCUUGAAUAUUGUGGAGGUGAGCGGAAUAUGUCAUGUAGCGGUGAAAUGCUUAGAUAUGACAUAGAACACCAAUUGCGAAGGCAGCUCACUACUCAAUCAUUGACUCUGAGGCACGAAAGCGUGGGGAUCAAACAGG
rnacentral:rRNA from 1 species